AUACGGAGGGGGCUAGCGUUGUUCGGAAUUACUGGGCGUAAAGCGCACGUAGGCGGAUUGGACAGUUGGGGGUGAAAGCCCGAGGCUUAACCUCGGAACUGCCCCCAAUACUGCCAGUCUUGAGUCCGGGAGAGGUGAGUGGAAUUCCUAGUGUAGAGGUGAAAUUCGUAGAUAUUAGGAAGAACACCAGUGGCGAAGGCGGCUCACUGGCCCGGUACUGACGCUGAGGUGCGAAAGCGUGGGGAGCAAACAGGAUUAAAAACCCGGGUAGUCC
rnacentral:rRNA from 1 species